UACGUAGGGUCCGAGCGUUGUCCGGAAUUACUGGGCGUAAAGAGCUCGUAGGUGGUUUGUCGCGUUGUCCGUGAAAACUCACAACUCAAUUGUGGGCGUGCGGGCGAUACGGGCAGACUGGAGUACUGCAGGGGAGACUGGAAUUCCUGGUGUAGCGGUGAAAUGCGCAGAUAUCAGGAAGAACACCCGUGGCGAAAGCGGCUCUCUGGAACGGUACUGACGCUGAGACGCGAAAGCGUGGGGAGCGAACAGG
rnacentral:rRNA from 1 species